rnacentral:rRNA from 1 species
GAUGAACGCUGGCGGCGUGCUUAACACAUGCAAGUCGAACGGAAAGGCCAGUGCUUGCCCUGGUACUCGAGUGGCGAACGGGUGAGUAACACGUGGGUGAUCUGCCCUGCACUUCGGGAUAAGCCUGGGAAACUGGGUCUAAUACCGGAUAGGACAAUGGUUUGGAUGCCGUUGUGGAAAGUUUUUUCGGUGUGGGAUGAGCUCGCGGCCUAUCAGCUUGUUGGUGGGGUAAUGGCCUACCAAGGCGUCGACGGGUAGCCGGCCUGAGAGGGUGUACGGCCACAUUGGGACUGAGAUACGGCCCAGACUCCUACGGGAGGCAGCAGUGGGGAAUAUUGCACAAUGGGCGCAAGCCUGAUGCAGCGACGCCGCGUGGGGGAUGACGGCCUUCGGGUUGUAAACUCCUUUCGCUAGGGACGAAGCGUAUUUGUGACGGUACCUGGAGAAGAAGCACCGGCUAACUACGUGC